AAGGACUGUCCAGAGAGCGGGACUCAGAUAAACAGCAGACUGACUCUAAUGGCCACUACUGAGCACCCAUUUGCUGUCGUGGGGAAGGGGCUACUGCAGCAGCGACUGUAUUGUCAAGCCGGCAGUGAUGGCCGUGUUGCCCGAGCCGAAAGAAGGAGGAGGAGGAAGUCUAUGUGUAAGGCCCUAGCCAGCAUGUUGAUGUUUUUGUUAUUAUUCCUGUUUUUAUUUAGUUUCUCUCAUUUCAGUUUCAGCUUUCCUGCCCUUGAUUGAACUCCACCUGCUUCCCAUCCCGAAUUAGCCUCACCUGUGCCCCAUUAUCAUCACUCCCCCCGACUAUUUAGUCUUUGUCCACAUUCCCCUCAGUGCCAGUUCGUCUUUGUUACUCCUAGCGUUCCAGCAGUGUUUAUUCCUAGUAUCUUGAUUCCACGUGUACCUGACCCAGCUUCGUGUCCUGACCCUGUUCCUGCCUCGUCUGUGUUGGUUGCCUUACUGACUGAUCUCCCGUGUACCGAACCUCUGCUAUAAAGACCCUUUUGCAACCUAA